AACAAAUGGGAUCCCCUGCAUUGCCUUGAUGUUGAAAGACUUCUAAUUUAUAAGAGGAAGCUUGGACAAAGUGUGACGGGGGAGAAGAUGGAAUUCCAAAUAAUAACCAAAGAAGACUGUGGUGGCUGCAUUACUGGCUUGUUGAACUGUAUAACUCUUUUGUUCAGAAUUUAUUUGUAAUUGCAUGGUAAGAAUUAAAGAAACCCAG
rnacentral:lncRNA from 1 species